UACGGAGGGGGCUAGCGUUGUUCGGAAUUACUGGGCGUAAAGCGCACGUAGGCGGCUUUGUAAGGUAGAGGUGAAAGCCCGGAGCUCAACUCCGGAAUUGCCUUUAAGACUGCAUCGCUUGAAUCAUGGAGAGGUGAGUGGAAUUCCGAGUGUAGAGGUGAAAUUCGUAGAUAUUCGGAAGAACGCCAGUGGCGAAGGCGACUCACUGGACAUGUAUUGACGCUGAGGUGCGAAAGCGUGGGGAGCAAACAGG
rnacentral:rRNA from 1 species